UAAUAUUUCGUUUCUCUUGGAACUGCAUCACAAUGCAAAAAAACAAAUGGCCGUAGCUUCCAGUUCAUGCUAACUUUAAAGUGAGAGAGCAGCAUCUCCAGAGUUCAGCUGUGUGUCUAUGAAGAGCAACAACUCAAUGUAUCAGCCUCCUUAUAUGAGUGAUGGAUCUGCUGUGAGCUCUGAGUCUGGAAAGACACUGAAUCUGGCUGCUGUUGACCAUCAUAGAGCAGCAUCUCCAGAGUUCAGCUGUGUGUCUAUGAAGAGCAACAACUCAAUACAUCUGCCUCCUUAUAUGAGUGAUGGAGCUGCUGUGAACUCUGAGUCUGGGUCAUCCUAUCCAGCUUUAUGGUUACCAACAAGAGGAAUGACUCAGAGAGCAGCAUCUCCAGAGUUUAGCUGUGUGUCUAUGAAGAGCAACAACUCAAUGCAACAGCCUCCUUUUAUGAGUGAUGGAUCUGCUGUGAGCUCUGAGUCUGGGUGAGUAUCAUGAGGAAUGAUUUUAGGUGUCUUUUUGUUGUGGCGGCAUAAAAAUAGUUUAGUCAUCUCAAGCCAACAAUACAGCAGUACAGAUCACUAUUUUAAUAUAUCAAUAUAUUCCCACGUCACAGUUCCAGUGAUGCUGGUAAAGUUGAUUCUAUUAGACCAUUUGGUGA
rnacentral:lncRNA from 1 species